UAAAGCGAAUAAGGGCGCAUGGUGGAUGCCUUGGGUCUGAGAGGCGAAGAAGGACGUGGUAAGCUGCGAAAAGCCGGGGGGAGCUGCACACAAGCGAAAUAUCCCCGGGUCUCCGAAUGGGACAACCCACUAUACUGAAGGUAUAGUACUCGAAAGAGAGCCAACCUCCUGAACUGAAACAUCUAAGUAGGGAGAGGAAAAGAAAACAAUAGUGAUUUCCUGAGUAGUGGCGAGCGAAAAGGGAAGAGCCCAAACCGCAGGAGCGAGCUUUUGCGGGGUUGUAGGACUACAUUUAGGAAUUAUCAAGAAGCUGAAUUAUCUGGAAAGAUAAGCCAUAGCAGGUGAAAGCCCUGUAGGCGUACAAUGAUAAGGACGCGUAGUAUCCUGAGUAGUGCGGGACCGGAGGAAUCCUGCAUGAACCAGCCAGCACCAUCUGGUAAGGCUAAAUACUCCUCAGACACCGAUAGUGAACCAGUACCGUAAGGGAAAGGUGAAAAGUACCCCGAAUAGGGGAGUGAAAUAGUACCUGAAACCGUGCGCUUACAAGCGGUCGGAGCUCUCAAGAGUGACGGCGUGCCUUUUGCAUAAUGAGCCUACGAGUUGCUCCUAACUGGCGAGGUUAAGUUCUUCAGUAACGGAGCCGUAGCGAAAGCGAGUCCGAAUAGGGCGAAUAGUCAGUUGGGGCAGACGCGAAACUUUGUGAUCUAUCCAUGAGCAGGUUGAAGUUCCGGUAACACGGAAUGGAGGACCGAACCCGUUAGCGUUGAAAAGCUUUGGGAUGACUUGUGGAUAGGGGUGAAAGGCCAAUCAAACUGAGAGAUAGCUCGUUCUCCCCGAAAUGUUUUUAGGAACAGCCUCAGAUAUAGAAGUUUACCAGAGGUAGAGCUACUGAUUGGGCUAGGGGGUUUCAUCGCCUACCAAACCCUGACAAACUCCGAAUGCUGGUAAAUAUCUCUGGGAGUGAGGCUGCGGGCGCUAAGGUCCGUGGCCGAGAGGGAAAUAACCCAGAUUAGCAACUAAGGCCCCCAAUACGUAGUUAAGUUGAACAAACGAGGUGAGACUUCAAUAACAGCCAGGAUGUUUGCUUGGAAGCAGCAAUUCAUUUAAAGAGUGCGUAACAGCUCACUGGUCGAGAGGUCUUGCACGGAAAAUAAUCGGGCAUCAAACUACGAGCCGAAGUUCUAAAAUUAUACUUUUAGUAUAAUUGGUAGGGGAGCAUUGAAACCAGCGUUGAAGGUGUGGCGUGAGCCAUGUUGGAGCGGUUUCAAAAGAAAAUGUAGGCAUAAGUAACGAUAAAAGGAGUGAAAAACUCCUUCGCCGAAAGUCUAAGGUUUCCUGAUCAACGUUAAUCGGAUCAGGGUUAGUCUGGACCUUAGGAGCACCCGAAAGGGGAAUCUGAUGGGAAGCGGGUUAAUAAUCCCGCACCUGCUAUACGAUGAAAGUGACGCAGUGACGUGGUGGUUGCGAACAGACGGAUGUUCGCCUGAGAGGAAUCUUCGGAGGAAUCGAAACCAUAAAAUUGCUGCCAAGAAAAGCGAGUAUAGCAGCCAGUACCGCAAACCGACACAGGUAGACGGGAUGAGUAUUCUAAGGCGCUCGGGUGAGCCGUGGAGAAGGAACUAGGCAAAUUGACGCUGUAACUUCGGGAUAAAGCGUACCGCUGCGAAGCGGUCUCAGUAAAAUGGUUCAACCAACUGUUUAACAAAAACACAGGGCCCUGCAAAAUCGUAAGAUGACGUAUAGAGCCUGAUACCUGCCCGGUGCCGGAAGGUUAAGGAAGGGGGUUAGGAUUAAACCGAAGCUCUUGACUGAAGCCCCGGUAAACGGCGGCCGUAACUAUAACGGUCCUAAGGUAGCGAAAUUCCUUGUCGGGUAAGUUCCGACCUGCACGAAUGGUGUAACGAGUUGAACACUGUCUCCUCCACGAGCUCGGUGAAAUUGUAGUAUCGGUGAAGAUGCCGGUUACCCGCCACGGGACGGAAAGACCCCGUGAACCUUCACUACAACUUUGCAUUGAUUUUGAGCAACAAAUGUGUAGGAUAGUUGGGAGACUAUGAAGUAGUGUCGCCAGGCAUUAUGGAGUCAACGUUGAAAUACCAACCUUUUGUUGCUUAGAACCUAAUCCCGCCAGAGGCGGGAGACAUUGCAUGGUGGGUAGUUUGACUGGGGUGGUCGCCUCCUAAAAAGUAACGGAGGCUCGCAAAGGUACC
rnacentral:rRNA from 1 species